UUCUACGGCCAUACCACUAAGAAGGCAACGGUUCUCGUCAGAUCACCGAAGUUAAGCUCAGUAGAACGCGCCGCAAUGA
rnacentral:rRNA from 1 species